CGCCCCCGCUCUCCGAGCGGCCCCGGGGAAAGCGAGGGUGGGGCCGACAAAGCCCGCGCGCGGGAGUCCUCAGUCACCCCGGGCGUUGGGGGGAAGGGGAGAACCGCAUCUACGCAUGCGCUUCCUGUCGGCGCGGGCGGGAGGGGCCGGAAGGAGGAGAAGGAAGAGGGGCGGGCAAAUUUAGAACGAGCCAAUGACAGCAGCGCAAACCGCGCUGUUCGCCGGCUCGGAACCGGGAGAGGAUGAGGGUUGGACCUGAAGGGAGGGGUCCAGGAGCCGAAGCCCGGGAAGAGAAGACGGAAGUGGAGCGAGGACAAAAUGGCCGCGAAGGUUGUUUCUCCCCUCCCCCACCUAAGUAUUCCUCCACCCUCACUGCAAAAUGCAAGAAGGUCCUCUAGGCCGGCUUAGGUUCCGCGGAUCCACGUUUCGGAGCAGCGAUUCUUUAGGCUAGGCCUGACCGCGGGAUGUUGCGGCCGACGAUCCGGCCUUGGGCGGGUGGGGGGAGGCCGGCGCCUCGUGGAAGAACUUGAUCGGGGCACCCUGGAUUGCAGUUGGAGGGAGUUGGUAGUACACUGCCGGUGUCGCCUCCGCUUUUGCGCUGGCUGGGACAGGUUUCUCUAGCAGGUGCUCAAAAACCUCACGCCGCUGCGGCAGCGGUUGGCCGGCAGCCCCCGGAGCGGGGGUUCGAGGGGCCCUGCUUCUCAGAAACCGCAGAACCAGGACCCUGGGUUGGGGCUAAUAGGCAGCCACACGUGUUUCUCUGAGCGUAGACCCCGGUGCCUCUCCCUUCCUCUUUCCGAGAACUGACUCGGCUUUCUGAUUCAUCCCCACCCCCACGUGUCCCAGCCCUACAGCUCUGCUAUUGUGGAAGAAAGACUAAAAAGAAGUCUCCCCUCCCCCCAGCCCCUGGAAACCGGCAGGCGUUAGGAAAUCCUAGGUUCUGGCAGUCCUGAGACUUAGCUUUGGAUUUUUUUUUUUUUAAUUUGAGCGUUUUUCAGAAACGAAGUAGUAUCUUGUCUACCUUGAUUUUUGUCAAAAGUGAAACGGCAACCAACGCAGCCGUCCUGAAAACGUGACUAAGCCCGUGCAGGAAACAGUGGUGCCUAGACUUGUACAUGGUGGUGCAUGGCGGCAGCCAUUUAAGGCCUUGUCAUUUUAAGAGCCCGUCUCAGUUCCUUGGGUGCUUGCCAGGUGACCUUUCAAACAAGCCGGGCAGCUUUUAUUCCUAUUUAGUAGAGACGUGGGUGCGGCUGGGUGGGGAGAUAGUUUUAAGGCUCCCCUCGCAGAAUUUUCAGCAGCAGGCCUGAAAUGAGGUUGGCAGACAGCGUGAAUUAGGCUGUGAGAAGAGCUGAGGACGCCUUGUCCUUGUCAGAGCCAGUGACUCCCGGACACAGGCCGGCUUCAAUGUGAUUAAAGAGUAUUUUCUUAUCUGCCUUUUCGGGGAGUGUGAGCCCGGCAUCCGAUGGAGGUACUUGUUUAGCGUCUCCCCACCUCCCUAGAAGUUAAUUUUAGGCAGCGAUUUGACCAUGUGCAAAGUGCUCGCUGGUUUUUCAUUUAUCAUCAAACCAAUGUGUUACUAACCCCUGAAUUAGGAGAAAAAUGAAGUUCAGAGGUGUUACUUGUGGGAAGGUUAACAACUGGCUGAGCUAGAGCAGGAUCUUUGGUCUUCUUUAUUGGUUACACGGUUACACUACAGUGUAAUGUCUUUUCUAGAAACACUGAAGUCCGAGUCCAGAAGGAGGAAGGUGUGUGCCGUGGGACGCUGCUUUCAGUUUCGUUUGGCAUCUGCAGUCGUUCUUUUCACACUCAAGUGCUGGAAGUCUCAGUUUAAAAACUCCCUGCUAUGGCCUGGGAAAGCAGUAGAAGAUGGCCCACAUCCUUGGGCCCCUGCACCCAUGUGGGAGACCCGGAAGAAGUCCUGGAUCCUGGCUUCGGAUUGGUGCAGCUCCAGUUGUUGCUGCCAUCUGGGGAAUGAACUAGCAGAUGGAAGACCUUUAUCUCUACCUCUCUAACUCUGUCUUUCAAAUAAAUAAGAUAAUAAUAAAAUAUUUUCAACAGACUUUGGUAUUUAUUCUUGUCCUACUAUCUUCAUAAAAACUAAAGGACCUCAGAACCAGCACUGUGGCGUAGUGGGUAAACCCACCACCUGCAGUGCCAACAUCGUACAUGGGCGCUGGUUCAAGACCCAGCAGCUGCUCCACUUCCAAACCAGCUUCCUGCUAUGGCCUGGGAAAGCAGUGGAAGAUGACCCAAGUUCUUGGGCCUGUGCACCCACGUGGGAGACCCAGAAGAGGCUCCUGGCUUUGGAUCAGCCCAGCUCCAGCUGUUGCGGCCAUUUGGGGAGUGAACCAGCGGAUGGAAGACCUCUCUCUCACUGCUUCUGCCUCUCUGUAACUCUGCCCUUCAAAUAAAUAAAUAAAAAUUCAAAAAAAAAUGACCUAUAACAUAAAAAUUGAUUUUUUUUUUUUAAGGAAAUAAGACUUUGCUAUGCCACAAUGCUAGCCCCUCAAAGUCUUAUAGCAGGUUAAACCACCACCUGUGAUGCUGGCAUCCCAUACGGGUGUUGGUUAGAGACCUAGCUACUCCCCUUCGACUCCAUCUCCCUACUAAUUUGCUUGGGAAAGUAGUGGAAGAUGGCCCGAGUGCUUGGGUGCCUACUUCCAUGUGGGAGAUCGAAGGAAGCUCCAGGCUCCUGGCUGUGGCCUGGCACAGCUGUGACCAAUGUGGCCACUGGGGAGUGAACCAGCAGAUGGAAGAUCUCUUUCUUCCUUUCAAAUAAAAUAAAUAAUUUUUUAAAGAUUUAUUGAUUUAUUUGGAAGUCAGAGUUACACAAGGAGAAAAGGAGAGGCAGAGAGAGGGGUCCUCAUCCAAUGGUUCACUCCCCAACUGGCCACAACGAACAAAGCUGUGCUGAUAUGAAGCCAGGAGCUGCCUUCUCCACCAGGUUUCCCAUGCGGUGCAGGGGCCCAAGCACUUGAGCCAUCUUUCCCUGCUUUCCCAGGCCAUAGCAGAGAGCUGGAUCGCAAGUGGAACAGCUGGGACUCUAACCGGCACCCAUAUUGGAUGCUGGUCCCACAGGUGGCAUCCCAUAUGGGCUCUGGUUCAAGACCCGGCUGCUUCACUUCCGAUCCAGCUCUGUGCUAUGGCCUGGGAAAGCAGUAGAAGAUGGCCCAAGUGCUUGGGCCUCUGCACCCAUGUGGGAGACCUGGAAGAAGCUCCUGGCUUCAGAUUGGCACAGCUCCGGCCGUUGCAGCCAAUUGGGGAGCGAUCCAGUGGAUGGAAGACCUCCCUCUCUGCCUCUCCUCUCUCUGUAAGUCUGAGUUUCAAAUAAACAAAAUAAAUCUUAAAAAAAAAAAAAAAGGUUGAUGCUGUUUGCACAGGUAUAUUUACUUUUGAAAAUUUAUUGAGAUGUGAACUUGAGGAUUUAUGCAUUUUUCUGUUUUACUUCAUUGUAUUUAUCUUCCCCAAAAUGUAUAGAUUAAACUAAAUUGUGCUACCAGUUUAUACUCCAGUCAGAAAUAUGAAAGCACCUGUUUUCCAACAACCUGUGUAAUCCUUAGUACCACGGUUUUUAUCUUUACCAAGCUGAUAGAUUAAAGUGGUGGGACUUUUUUUGUCCUCUGUGAAGAAAAAAAUUCUGGAAGUUGAAAACAGACCAAAAAAGUUCAUUGGUUGGCAGUUUUCAGCUCUGUAAAGGCAACUGGUAAAUCUCUGUCCAGUAGAGGUGGAAGUAGUUGAUGUUCCAGUUAAACAGAUGACUCCAAAAAGUACAGUCUGUGAUGUGGCUUUGUAGGACAUUAACCAGUUUGAUGUCUAAGCUAGCAAUCUUUUUCAUCUGUUACAUUGUUUCUAUUUACCUAACUUCUUAAAUGUACUUUGGACCAGUUUUUAUAUCUUAAUUACUCCCUAAGUAAUGGAUUAAAUAAAAUCUUUAAUCUGUUGAAGUCAAUAUUUUACUUUUUUGAAAAUUGUACUUCAACAACAGUCUGUGCCUAUUUUGGUUUAGCUGUGUUCUCACUUAAAAGAGUUCAUUAUCAUGUUUUUAUAUACAUGGAUUACUAGACUAUGUACUCUAGUGGUUUUAUAAAUAUGUCCAUAGAUUAUUCACUACCUCCCCCUUCAAGAGGUAGAGCUUCAUUUUCCUGCUUCACAGAGUGGUCUGGACUUAGUAUAUAGUUCUAAUGAAUAGAAUAUUAAAGUAAUGGCAUGUCAAACCUCAGGUUUUAUCACAAAAAAAGCACUGCAGUUCUUUUUCAGGUCUUGAGUUUCUUAGAUCUCUGAUUGUGCUUAGAUCCUCUUGCUCUCAGAUCACUUACUUUGUAGAAGCCAGCUGCUUUGUCACAAACCUUAUGUAGAGGCCCAUGUGGUGAACUGAGGCCCCCACCCACAGCCAAGUGAGUAAGCCAUCUUAGAUCAUACAGCACCAGGCAAGCUUGCAAUGACUGCCACACUAGUUAUCUUGCUGUCAACGUCUCCUGAGGAGACAGUAAACAAGACUUCCUAGUUAAGCCAUUCCCAACUUUCUGACCCACAGAAAUUAAGAGAUAAUAAAGACCAGUUUAAACCACUAAAUUUUGGAGUACUUGGUUACACAGGAAUAGAUAUUAGAGGGGCUGACACUACAGGCAUCCCAUAUGGGCACCGGUUCAAGUCCUUGCUGCUCCACUUCUGAUCCAGCUUCCUGCUAAUGUGCCUACAAAAGCAGUGAAAGAUGGCCCAAGUACUUGGGCCCCUGCACUGAUGCAGGAGGUCCAGAUGAAGCUCCUGGCUCCUGGCUUUUGAUCAUCCCAGCUUCAGUGUGAGCCAGUGGAUGGAAGAUUCAUUCUCUCUCUCUCUCUCUCUCUAACUCAUGCCUUUCAAAUAGAUAAAUCUAUAAAUAUAUAUAUAAAAUGUAUAAAUUAUAAAAUUAAAAAUUAUAUAAAUAUAUAUAAAAUAUAUUAAAAAUUUAUACUGAAACAUAAUAAAUAUAUACAUUUGUUAUUUAAAGAUGUAUUUACUUGAAAGAGAAAUAUAUAUAUAUACACACAUAUAUAUAUAAAUAUAUUUAUCUUGUGCUUUAAAUAGAUCUCCCAUCUACUGGUUAACUCCCCAAAUGACUGCAGCACCAGGGCUGGGCCAGGCUGAAUCCAGGAGCCUGGAAUUCCAUCCAGGUCCCCCAUAUGGGUGCAGGAGCUCAAGAACCUAAGCCAUUUUCCACUGCUUUCCUGGGCCCAUUAACAGAGAACUGGAUCAGAGCUGAAGCAGCCAGGACUCGAACUGGCACCCAUAUGGGAUAUUGGUGUUGCAGACAGCUUUACCUGCUGUGCCACAAAGCCACCCCUGUUUUUGUCUUUAAAAUUUAUUUAUUGGUAGACAGAAAUGAGAGAGUUCUCAUCUACUGGUUCACUCUUCAAAUGCCUGUCAGUCUGGGCUGUGCUAAGGCUGAAGCUGGGAGUUGGGAACUCAAUCUUGGUCUCAUGAGUGGCAGAUACCCAAUAACCUGAGCCAUCACUGCUCCAUCCUAGGGGCUGAGUUAGCUCAAACAAGCCAGGAGUUAGAGGUGGGUAUUGAACCAAAGUGCUUGAUGUGGUACACAGGCAUCUUAAUCACUAGGCCAAAUGCCUACCCUUACCUUUAUCUUUUAAUUUGCUUUAUCAUGUUUUUUUUCUUUCUUUUUUUAAGAUUUAUUUAUCUGAAAGGCAAAGUGACAGGGAGAGAGAGAUCUUCUAUCCGCUGGAUCAUUCCCCAAAUGGCCACAACAAGCGGAGCUGGGCUAGGCUGAAGCCAGGAACCCAGAGCUCCAUCUGGUCUCACACGUGGGUGGCAGGGGCUCAAACACUUGGACUAUGUUCUGCUUUCCUAGAAGCAGGGAGCUGACUCAGAAGCACACCAGCCAGGACUUGAAACAGCACUAUUUGGGAUGCCAGCAUCACAAGCAGCAGGUUGAUCUGCUACACCACAAUGCCAGCCCCUGUCCUUUCUUUUUUCAAGAUUCAAACUCUAGAUUAUGAACCUGGAGUACAUUUAUUUAUACUAAAUAAUUUGUUGCACUAAGUAAUUACUAACACUGCUAGCAUUCCUUGAGGACAUGGGCUUUGGUUCUAAUGUGUAAAGUUAUCAAAUUGAAUUACAAAAAUAGUAGCACUAGCUGAUGUUGGAUGUUCACCAUUUGUCAGCCACCAUUCCCAAGCAGUGGUACGUAAAUCUGCUAAUUUACUUAAUUUACACAACUCUAUGAGAUAGAUACUAUCUUCAUGUUACAUAGAUAGGAAACAUGGAAAGGUUAAGAAACAGGAGUGUGCCCAGGGUAGUAUAUAGUUAAUGGUAGCUGAUAUUGAAAUCCAGGCAGUUGCUUGACUCCAAAGCUAACGCUCUUAAUCACCUUGCUGCUGUCUCUUAUCUGUAACUUGAAACAUCUCAUUCUGGAUUAUAACACAUAAACAUACACACACACUUGUUCACUGACAAACACUUUGUGGAAGGGAGGAAUGUAUCUACUUGCCUAGGAUGAUCAGUGGCAUAACAGUUACAGAGAGAAGGAGAGACAGAGAGAAAGGUCUUCCAUCCACUGGUUCACUCCCCAAAUGGCCACAAACAGCUGGAACUGGGUUGAUCUGAAACUAGGAGGAGCUAGGAACAUAUUCGGGGUCUCCCAGGUGGGUAUAGGGGUCCAAGCACUGGGGCCAUUUUGUACUGCUUUCCCAGGUCAUAGCAGAGAGCUGGAUCAGAAGAGGAGCAGCUGGGACAUGAACUGAUGCCCAAAGGGAUGGUGACGUCACAGGUGGAGGCCCAGCCUGCUAUGCCACAGCACCGGCCUGUUUAUGAUUGGUGUUUAUUUGAUCCCCUCCUGGAUAUAGUAAAUUUCUUUAGGGGGCUGGUUAAUUCACACAUUUCUAACUAUUGAGUCAGAAACAGUGUGGAGGGGUCUGCACUGUGGCAUAGUGGGUAAAGCUG